CCUACGGGUGGCAGCAGUGGGGAAUAUUGCACAAUGGGGGAAACCCUGAUGCAGCGACGCCGCGUGAGUGAAGAAGUAUUUCGGUAUGUAAAGCUCUAUCAGCAGGGAAGAAAAUGACGGUACCUGACCAAGAAGCCCCGGCUAACUACGUGCCAGCAGCCGCGGUAAUACGUAGGGGGCAAGCGUUAUCCGGAUUUACUGGGUGUAAAGGGAGCGUAGACGGCAGUGUAAGUCUGGAGUGAAAGGCCGGGGCUUAACCCCGGAACUGCUUUGGAAACUGUGCAGCUGGAGUGCAGGAGAGGUAGGUGGAAUUCCUGGUGUAGCGGUGAAAUGCGUAGAUAUUAGGAGGAACACCGGUGGCGAAGGCGGCUUGCUGGACUGUAACUGACGUUGAGGCUCGAAAGCGUGGGGAGCAAACAGGAUUAGAUACCCUAGUAGUC
rnacentral:rRNA from 1 species